rnacentral:sRNA from 1 species
GCAGCCGCGCUGUAGAGACACUGUUGAAAUGUGCGGAAAGUAAUGAGAAUGGGAAUGGCCGAGAACUCUGGAGACUGACUACCCGGGAGGGAAGUCAUGCGCGCGCGGCGCCUAAGCAGCUCAGAGCCGGGAGCCCAGGUCCCAGAGCUGACAAUUAAGCCGCGGGACCUCCGCGCCAGUGCCUCCAGCUGCCGCGCGCCAGCCUUGGCCGCCACAGCCCGCCUCCCGGCGCUCGCGGGACAGAGACCGCCUCAAAGAGCGGGCGCACCUGCCACCGCGCGCUGGAGCUGACCUCUCCCGGCGGCGGGCGGUUAGGGGAAAGUACCUGGGAGAAAGGUAGAGGAGGUAAGGGGACCCUUGGGGGGUGCCCCUACGGGCUACCAGGGUUGAACGCACAGGCAUGGUCACGUCGGGGUAUUGCCAAGCUUUUGGCGCAGCUGGUCGGGUGGCCAGGCUGCAUGCGGCUUAGCAGGAGACGUCCUGGGCUGUUUGCGCAGGACCUCUGGAGGCCCUCGAGAUGGUCGCAAGCGGAAAGGUGCUGGAGAAUCUGGUAAAAGCACCAUUGUGAAGCAGAUGAGGAUCCUGCAUGUUAAUGGGUUUAAUGGAGAAAUGUAUUAUCCCUAGAUGAUGGCUACAGUUUCUCAUCUUCCCGGCUAUGUCCUAUCACAAUUUGCAUGCUGGAAUUGCUCGGUCUUAGGAACUUCUAAUAAGAAUACUAUUCUGUUAUCUGAGGGGGGAGGGGGGAUGGGGCCCCUACUACCUGACCUUAAACGAUGAUUGAAAAAAUGAAAAAUGGACUGAAAUCCUUAAUUGGCAGAAAUGUAGUAUGACAACUAUCCAAAAAGGCAUCUCUCUAAGAAAUGACUAAUUGACAAUCUGCUGUACCAAAAGUUGGCAUUUGAGCAAGAUAUGACAAGUCCUUAGUGAGCAACCUACUGUGUACUAGAUGUCCUGCUAAACCCUUGAACCCUACUAAUACCUUGGCCUGCACGUCUCUCUGACUCUGUUCUGCAAGUCAAUAUAAGUAUUAACAUUCGUGAUAAAUAAAAAUUCUCUGCAUGUUUCAGCAA